GACGAACGCUGGCGGCGUGCUUAACACAUGCAAGUCGAGCGGUAAGGCCCUUUCGGGGGUACACGAGCGGCGAACGGGUGAGUAACACGUGGGUGACCUGCCCUCAGCUCUGGGAUAAGCCUGGGAAACCGGGUCUAAUACUGGAUAUGACUCCAUGACGCAUGUUGUGGGGUGGAAAGCCUUGUGCGGCUGAGGAUGGGCCCGCGGCCUAUCAGCUUGUUGGUGGGGUGAUGGCCUACCAAGGCGACGACGGGUAGCCGGCCUGAGAGGGCGACCGGCCACACUGGGACUGAGACACGGCCCAGACUCCUACGGGAGGCAGCAGUGGGGAAUCUUGCGCAAUGGGCGAAAGCCUGACGCAGCGACGCCGCGUGAGGAUGACGGCCU
rnacentral:rRNA from 1 species